rnacentral:rRNA from 1 species
UACACUCCUACGGGAGGCAGCAGUGGGGAAUUUUGGACAAUGGGGGCAACCCUGAUCCAGCAAUGCCGCGUGAGUGAAGAAGGCCUUCGGGUUGUAAAGCUCUUUUGUCAGGGAAGAAACGGUAGUAGCGAAUAACUAUUACUAAUGACGGUACCUGAAGAAUAAGCACCGGCUAACUACGUGCCAGCAGCCGCGGUAAUACGUAGGGUGCAAGCGUUAAUCGGAAUUACUGGGCGUAAAGCGUGCGCAGGCGGUUGUGUAAGUCAGAUGUGAAAUCCCCGGGCUCAACCUGGGAAUUGCAUUUGAGACUGCACGGCUAGAGUGUGUCAGAGGGGGGUAGAAUUCCACGUGUAGCAGUGAAAUGCGUAGAUAUGUGGAGGAAUACCGAUGGCGAAGGCAGCCCCCUGGGAUAACACUGACGCUCAUGCACGAAAGCGUGGGGAACAAACAGGAUUAGAAACCCUAGUAGUCCCAUGAU